rnacentral:misc_RNA from 1 species
GUUCAAUGCUUGUUAUGGACGAGGUGGGUACCAACCUGACAACAGUUUUCUAUUUAUAUAAUUUCUUAGAGAGCAGUGUGUACGAUGGUUAGUUAAGUAAUCUUUUGCUUCCAUCACUUUUUUUUUUCCUAUUUCUUUUUUCACAUAAUUUUUUGGUCUAUCUGUUCUAACAUUUUUAUUCUUCCAUUUGAAGGAGCAAUGCAACUUUCCUGAAGAAUAUUUUCAAUAUUUUGGAUUUUGCUUGUCUCAUUCUUUGUUUCUAUAUUUUGCUUGGUUAUUAGUUCUUGCAGAU